AGAGACUUAGGAUAGCACCAGACCAGGGGCCUUCAAAGCCCCAAGCGAGAGUGAGAAUCUCUCAGUCUCUG
rnacentral:tRNA from 1 species